rnacentral:rRNA from 1 species
CGCACAAGCGGUGGAGCAUGUGGUUUAAUUCGAUGCAACGCGAAGAACCUUACCUGGUCUUGACAUCCACAGAACUUAGCAGAGAUGCUUUGGUGCCUUCGGGAACUGUGAGACAGGUGCUGCAUGGCUGUCGUCAGCUCGUGUUGUGAAAUGUUGGGUUAAGUCCCGCAACGAGCGCAACCCUUAUCCUUUGUUGCCAGCGGUUAGGCCGGGAACUCAAAGGAGACUGCCAGUGAUAAACUGGAGGAAGGUGGGGAUGACGUCAAGUCAUCAUGGCCCUUAC